rnacentral:rRNA from 1 species
AGAGUUUGAUCAUGGCUCAGGAUGAACGCUAGCGGCAGGCCUAAUACAUGCAAGUCGAGGGGCAGCGGGGUAGCAAUACUGCCGGCGACCGGCGCACGGUGCGUAACACGUAUGCAACCUACCUUAAACUGGGAGAUAGCCCGGGGAAACUCGGAUUAAUACCCCAUAAUACAUUUGGAACACAUGUUUUGAUUGUUAAAGAUUUAUCGGUUUAAGAUGGGCAUGCGUUCGAUUAGCUAGUUGGUAAGGUAAUGGCUUACCAAGGCUACGAUCGAUAGGGGGUCUGAGAGGAUGAUCCCCCACACUGGUACUGAGAUACGGACCAGACUCCUACGGGAGGCAGCAGUAGGGAAUAUUGGUCAAUGGAGGCAACUCUGAACCAGCCAUGCCGCGUGUAGGAAGAAGGCGUUCUGCGUUGUAAACUACUUUUGAUUGGGAACAAAUGACUCUUGCGAGAGUAGCUGAGUGUACCAAUAGAAUAAGCCACGGCUAACUACGUG